GAUGAACGCUGGCGGCGUGCCUAAUACAUGCAAGUCGAGCGAACAGACGAGGAGCUUGCUCCUCUGACGUUAGCGGCGGACGGGUGAGUAACACGUGGAUAACCUACCUAUAAGACUGGGAUAACUUCGGGAAACGGGAGCUAAUACCGGAUAAUAUAUUGAACCGCAUGGUUCAAUAGUGAAAGACGGUUUUGCUGUCACUUAUAGAUGGAUCCGCGCCGCAUUAGCUAGUUGGUAAGGUAACGGCUUACCAAGGCAACGAUGCGUAGCCGACCUGAGAGGGUGAUCGGCCACACUGGAACUGAGACACGGUCCAGACUCCUACGGGAGGCAGCAGUAGGGAAUCUUCCGCAAUGGGCGAAAGCUUGACGGAGCAACGCCGCGUGAGUGAUGAAGGUCUUCGGAUCGUAAAACUCUGUUAUUAGGGAAGAACAAAUGUGUAAGUAACUAUGCACGUCUUGACGGUACCUAAUCAGAAAGCCACGGCUAACUACGUG
rnacentral:rRNA from 1 species